GCAUUUCAUCUGAUUUUAUCCACCUAGGCAUCCAGUUGAACUCUUCCUUGCCGUUCAACAUUACCGGCGACAACACCGUAAUGCUGUUUAAUUGUUCCGAGUCGAUACGUGAUCACCCGUUGAAUUGUUCGACGAGCAGCUUGUGCUACUUGUACGUUAAGGGAGAAGAGUACUCUCAGUGCAGGGAUUCAACGUUGUGUUGUACAUUCAAAGCAGGCGGGUCAGCGUCGGCGUAUAGGAUACGGGUCCGAGAAAAAGGGUGUAGAGCUUAUAGAAGUUUCAUUGGUUUG
rnacentral:misc_RNA from 1 species